rnacentral:rRNA from 1 species
CCUACGGGUGGCAGCAGUGAGGAAUAUUGGUCAAUGGACGAGAGUCUGAACCAGCCAAGUAGCGUGAAGGAUGACUGCACUAUGGGUUGUAAACUUCUUUUAUAAAGGAAUAAAGCGAGGCACGCGUGCCCUUUUGCAUGUACUUUAUGAAUAAGGAUCGGCUAACUCCGUGCCAGCAGCCGCGGUAAUACGGAGGAUCCGAGCGUUAUCCGGAUUUAUUGGGUUUAAAGGGAGCGUAGGUGGGUUGGUAAGUCAGUUGUGAAAGCUUGGGGCUCAACCGUUAAAUUGCAAUUGAUACUGGCAGUCUUGAGUACAGGUGAGGUAAGCGGAAUGCGUGGUGUAGCGGUGAAAUGCGUAGAUAUCACGAAGAACCCCGAUUGCGAAGGCAGCUUACUAGACUGUGACUGACGCUGAGGCUCGAAAGUGUGGGUAUCAAACAGGAUUAGAUACCCCAGUAGUC